CUAAGAAUAUUCCGCAAUGGACGAAAGUCUGACGGAGCGACGCCGCGUGGAUGAAGAAGGCCGCAAGGUUGUAAAAUCCUUUUGCUGGGGAAGAAUAAGCGCAGGAGGGAAUGCCUGCGUGAUGACAUGAACCGGCGAAUAAGCCCCGGCCAACUACGUGCCAGCAGCCGCGGUAACACGUAGGGGGCAAGCGUUGUUCGGAAUUACUGGGCGUAAAGGGCAUGUAGGCGGUUAUGUAAGCCUGGCGUGAAAGUCCACAGCUUAACUGUGGGAUUGCGUUGGGAACUAGAUGACUAGAGUUACGGAGAGGGAGCUAGAAUUCCUGGUGUAGGGGUGGAAUCUGUAGAGAUCAGGAAGAAUACCGAUGGCGAAGGCAAGCUCCUGGCCGAUGACUGACGCUGAGGUGCGAAAGUGUGGGGAUCAAACA
rnacentral:rRNA from 1 species